ACCAGUAGCUGGUCUGAGAGGAUGAUCAGCCAUACUGGUACUGAGACACGGCCCAGACUCCUACGGGAGGCAGCAGUGGGGAAUUUUCCGCAAUGGGCGAAAGCCUGACGGAGCAAUACCGCGUGAGGGAGGAAGGCUCUUGUGUCGUAAAGCUCUUUUCUCAAGGAAGAACACAAUGACGCUACUUCAGGAAUCAGCUUGGGCUAACUCCGUGCCAGCAGCCGCGGUAGUACGUAGGAUGCAAGCGUUAUCCGGAAUGAUUGGGCGUAAAGCGUCCGCAGGUGGCGAUGUAAGUCUGCUGUUAAAGAGUGAGGCUCAACCUC
rnacentral:rRNA from 1 species